GUAAGACUUCAUAAACAACCAGGAUGUUGGCUUAGAAGCAGCCACCAUUAAAAGAGUGCGUAAUAGCUCACUGGUCGAGAGGCCUUGCGCCGAAGAUGUCCGGGGCUCAAGUACAGAACCGAAGUCGCGGCAGGAUUAUAUAAUUCUGGGUAGGGGAGCGUUGUAUAUCCGACUGAAGGUGUACCGGAAGGAGCGCUGGAGGAUAUACAAGAGAGAAUGCCGGUAUGAGUAGCGAAAAGAACAGUGAGAAUCUGUUCCACCGAAAGCCUAAGGUUUCCUGAGCAACGCUCGUCGACUCAGGGUAAGUCGGGACCUAAGCCGAGGCAAAAAGCAUAGGCGAUGGACAACAGGUUAAUAUUCC
rnacentral:rRNA from 1 species